GAUGCAGCGACGCCGCGUGAGGGAUGAAGGCCUUCGGGUUGUAAACCUCUUUCAGCAGGGAAGAAGCGCAAGUGACGGUACCUGCAGAAGAAGCGCCGGCUAACUACGUGCCAGCAGCCGCGGUAAUACGUAGGGCGCAAGCGUUGUCCGGAAUUAUUGGGCGUAAAGAGCUCGUAGGCGGUUUGUCGCGUCUGGUGUGAAAACUCGAGGCUCAACCUCGAGCUUGCAUCGGGUACUUGCAGACUUAGAUGCGGUAGGGGAGACUGGAAUUCCUGGUGUAGCGGUGGAAUGCGCAGAUAUCAGGAGGAACACCGAUGGCGAAGGCAGGUCUCUGGGCCGCAACUGACGCUGAGGAGCGAAAGCAUGGGGAGCGAACAGGAUUAGAUACCCUGGUAGUCCAUGCCGUAAACGUUGGGCACUAGGUGUGGGGCUCAUUCCACGAGUUCCGUGCCGCAGCAAACGCAUUAAGUGCCCCGCCUGGGGAGUACGGCCGCAAGGCUAAAACUCAAAGGAAUUGACGGGGGCCCGCACAAGCGGCGGAGCAUGCGGAUUAAUUCGAUGCAACGCGAAGAACCUUACCAAGGCUUGACAUGCACGAGAAGCCACCAGAGAUGGUGGUCUCUUUGGACACUCGUGCACAGGUGGUGCAUGGUUGUCGUCAGCUCGUGUCGUGAGAUGUUGGGUUAAGUCCCGCAACGAGCGCAACCCUCGUCCCAUGUUGCCAGCGGGUUAUGCCGGGGACUCAUGGGAGACUGCCGGGGUCAACUCGGAGGAAGGUGGGGAUGACGUCAAAUCAUCAUGCCCCUUAUGUCUUGGGCUUCACGCAUGCUACAAUGGCCGGUACAAAGGGCUGCGAUACCGUAAGGUGGAGCGAAUCCCAAAAAGCCGGUCUCAGUUCGGAUUGGGGUCUGCAACUCGACGCCCAUGAAGUCGGAGU
rnacentral:rRNA from 1 species